rnacentral:rRNA from 1 species
GUCUAUGACCAUACCUGAACACUCUUGAUCUCAUCUGAUCUCAAAUGUUAAACAGGGUUGGGCCUAGUUAAUACUUGGAUGAGAGAAAGAGAGACACAGAUGCAGAGAAC